rnacentral:rRNA from 1 species
GCCCAGCACCGAAGCCUGUGGUUGUUUGAUCACUAGGCAAUGUGGUGUUUAGGUUGGUUCUGCGGAGUCAUUGCUCUACUCUAAGUCCAGUUAUGAAUACGGUAUAUGGACAUGGCCCAUAGAGGGUGAAAGGCCCGUAUGAGUAGAGACCUCGGCUUUGGCUUCCUGAACUUACCUUGGAGUCGGGUUGUUUGAGAAUGCAGCCCAAAGUGGGUGGUAAACUCCAUCCAAGGCUCAAUACUGGCACGAGUCCGAUAGCGAACAAGUACUGUGAAGGAAAGUUGAAAAGUACUCUGAAGAGAGAGUCAAAAGUACGUGAAACCGCUCAGAGGUAAACGGGUAGAGUUGAACUGCAAUCCUGUGAGAUUCAGCUAAUGAGUAUGGCUUGAGCUUGGCAUAUUGAAUUCGGCUGAAAGGUCUGCUUAGCUGCAGGUUGCUGUCGUUAUCGGCAGUGAUACGAGCUGCACUUGUCAAGUGUUGCGUGCCUUUUUGACCGGAGGUCUGCUCGUUAGUGCACUUCUUGCAGGUGUUCACCACGACCGGCACUGCUGUCUGUCUGCUGUGGCUAAACUUGUUGGACUCGGCUCCUUGUGGGCCUUGUUUGACUGGGAUGGCAGGUAGCUUGUUUCAGCUUUCGGGUUGAGCAAGUGUAAUUCAGCUGGUUGCAGCGGAGCUGUGCAGUGUGUCGGAGAUGGCGGCUGUAGGUGGUGUGUAUGCAGGUUUUGCUGCCUGAGUCGGAUUUGGUUGCCGUGUUAGUCUGUGUUAAAUCAGACCCGGUGAUGAUUCGGCUUUGUGUGGUAGGCUGUUUUGCAUGCUGCCGUUUAAACAAUAAGCCUAUAGUCUGUGGUGUAGUGGUAAGCUCUCUACCCGACCCGUCUUGAAACACGGACCAAGGAGUUUAACAUGUGCGCGAGUCAAUGGGCGUAACGAAACCCUAAGGCGUAAUGAAAGUGAAGGUUCGGCUUGUCCGAGCUAAGGUGAGAUCCGGUCGUUUCCUUUGCAAGGCAUGUCCAAGCAUUCGAGCGGCAGGCGCAUCACCGGCCCGUCCCAUGGUGUAGUCAUGACUCCUUGCUGGGUUGUGCAUCACCGGGGUGGAGCAUGAGCGUACAUGUUGAGACCCGAAAGAUGGUGAACUAUACUUGUGCAGGUUGAAGCCAGAGGAAACUCUGGUGGAGGACCGCAGCGAUUCUGACGUGCAAAUCGAUCGUCAGACAUGAGUAUAGGGGCGAAAGACUAAUCGAACCAUCUAGUAGCUGGUUCCCUCCGAAGUUUCCCACAGGAUAGCUGA